CAGUCCGAAUCAAAGGGUAAAGAAAUAGCCUUCCUCACAAAAGUGAAAACAUCUCAAGAACCUAGUAAAGAAACUGUCUUUGUUAUGAGGUGCUGCAUCUAUGAAUUGAAUAAAGAAAUGAUCUUUUACCCACGAGAAAAUUAGAAAAACGAUCCUGAAUAAACCCUUCCUGCUUCCUGAAUAAACCCUUCUUACUUCAAAUCACCUCAUUCAUCUCCCUACGCUUCAUUCGAAUUCUUUUCGAUUAUAGGUAGAGACUAUUUUCUUUACACAUUUGAAAAUUUCAAAGAUUUUUAGCUUCUGCCAUGACAGCUGCAGCAGUAGGAGACGCAGUUUUCCGAAGCAUUAAGGCGUCCAAUUCAGGUGUCUUUCUUUGUGGCUUUCUACUUUUGGAUGCAGUGUCCAAUGAGCAGCUUUCCAUCAUUUUUGAGAUUUAUAAAUUGUCCCAAACCUCAGUUAAAAGGGACCCCUUGUUGGAAUUAGCUAUUAUUACCCCUGGGCAAAAGAGAGGAGAGGUAAGUUGUUUUCAUUGCAAAACAACUUUUCAAGGGGGAGGCAUUAAGACAUUAAAAUAUUAAGCCGGGAUGCUAAUUCAUGCCCACAAUUGCAUGUUGAGGUUAUACGUGAAGUGCAAGUUCAAUUAUAAAUCUUUGAGCAACAAAACAACUAAAAAAGUGGCAAAGAGAGAUGGCAGCCAUUGGUGGAACUAGAGAUUCUUCUUCCAUUGCUCCAUUUCAUCCAUCUUCGGGUGGUGGUAGUGGCAGUGGCAGUGGCAGUUGUAGUGUUAGCAUGGGGCGUAGACUUUGUGCAUCUAGGUUAGAUUCAUAUAUUUUGCCACACACUACUCCAAGUUCCCAGCUGUCAAUUGAGAGCAUGGCUUGGAACAAAGAUAAACAUGAUGUAGCUAAAAGUGCAAUUGGAGACUUUUGGUUCUAUUGCAACAUUCCAUUCCACACAGCCAGGUCUCCUUAUUGGCAAACCAUGGUUGAUGCCAUUAUUGUUUGCGACAUAGAGUUUAAAACCCCUAACGAUGAGGAGAUAAAGGGCUCCAUUUUGUCACAAAAGGUGGUUGAUGUGAAAGCCACAAUAGAGGAGCUGCGAGAGAUAUGGAGGAUGAAGGGAUGCACCAUCAAACAAAUAGAAGAAAUAGAAUAUUGCUAAAUUUUCUUGUUUCUUUCUCAGGAAACACAUAAAAUGUUGAAUUCCUUUGUGAAACUUUGGAGGAAGUCUUUGCUGAGGAGAAUAUGGUGCAAGUGGUUACAGAUAAUGCAACAAAUUAUGUUGCUGCAGGUAGACUUUAAAUGGAUAGGCACCCAUCAUUGUUUUGGACUCCAUGUGCUGCUCAUUGCCUUGACCUCACAUUCGAAGAUCUUCUCAAGAUUCCAUGGAUCAAAGCAUGUGUGGAGAUAACAAAAAAUAUUUGUAAAUUCAUAUACAAUCAUACAUGGGUCCUCAACCUAAUGAGGCAAUUCAUAGGGCAUAAGGAGUUGAAGGACUCGGUUUGCAACCAAUUUUAUCACAUUACAAUCCUUGCUUCAAGCAAAGGGAGCUUUGAAGCACAUGCUAGUUAGUGAGGAGUGGACUUCCUCAGCAUAUGCUAAAUUUUUUGUAGGAGUUGAUGUGACAAAUUGGAUUUUAGAUGAGCAAGGCUUCUAGGUAUUGAUUGUAGAGAUCAUACAGUUCAUAGAGCCUUUAGUGGUUCUCCUAUGAGUUGCUAACAGAGAGAAGCCUGCAAUGGGCUGCAUAUAUGAGGGCAUGAAUAGGGCCAUGGAGGCCAUUUGAUCCAUUUAUGCGGGAGUUGAGGAUAAAUAUUGCACAUUUGGGAAAAUCAUUGAUAGACGAUGGCACCUCCAGCUUGACAAGCCCCUACAUGCAGCUGCUUAUUUUCUUUAAUCCAAAAUUCCAUUUCUGCCCUGAUUUCAAGGCAAAUGCGGAGGUUAUGAUUGGGCUCUACACAGUCAUAGAAUGGAUGAUGCUUGAUUCUAGUGUUCAAGCACAAAUAAUCAUGGAGAUUGUUAUCUUUACACUUGCACAAGGAGAUCUAUUUGCACAAGAUAUAUGCAAGGCAACUCAGUUGACAUGCAGCCAGAUUUGGUGCUAAGGUACCAAACCUUCAAAGGAAUGUAGUUAGAGUAUUGAGCCAACCAUGCAUUGCUUCAAGAUAUGAGCGUAAUUGGAGUAUGUUUGAGCACAUACACCCAAGAAGCGCGAUAGACUGUUAGUGCAAAGGUUGAAUGAUAUAGUCUAUGUUCAUUACGACCUUUGCCUUCACGAUAGACAGAUUUUGGGCAGUGACUUAUCACCUAUUACACUAGAGGAGGUCGAUCGACAAUCUGACAGGAUCACUGAGGUUGAGGAUCCUAUCUUUAGUGAUGAGAACCUCAGUUGGGUUGACCAGGUGGAUAGAGAGGCAGAGGCAGUAGCCAUGGCAAAGGAGGAGGAUAGAGCACAAGCGGACACCUUAGAUUUUGGUGUGGCUGUCACUAAUUCACAGACAGAUAUUAUGGCUGCAUCAUCGUCAAGGACCUUUUAUAGACGCUUGCGUAGGAGGGCCAAGUGAUGCAGGCUCCUUUGAGCCAUAGACUUCUAGCUUUUGUUUUGAUAUCUGUUUGGAACUUUUGAUGCCAUAGAUUUCAUAUUUCAUGAGUUUUGUAUACAUUUGAUAAUAUUUAUAUAUCUAAAUGUUUUAUUUCCUCCAACCAAAAUUUGCAUUUAUACUUAUGUGAUUGAUGUAUACUUGUAUAUGUGAUCAAAGUAGCUUCUAUUUGAUGAGAUUAUUGUUUUAAAGGUUUAUUGGUGCAUGAAACAAAUUUCUCAAUUUCUUGGGUUUUUCAUGCUGAGUCUGCGCCGAGUUUGGGUGCUAAGUCCAAGUCCAAGCCAAAAAUCAGCUCAUUGAGUCUAGGUCAGAUGUACUCCACAGGCGGGCCAUCAAGAUUGCAAGAAUUUGGAGAUAUAGGUCGUCUAUGUGCCAUCAAGAUUGUGAGGUUUCCGAGAUUUAGCUCAAAUGUGGGCCAUCAAGAUUGCAAGGAAGGACUUGCACCUUGUCUUGUACACUGUAAUUAACUCCUGCACUAAUGCAACAAUGAAAAUUUGGAGAUUUUCCUUUUAUGGGAUUUGAAUCUGGGUAUGGGUAUGCGAGGCAUCUAAGAAUAUCACUGCUUGACCAAACUCUCCUUGUAUGGAAUUUUUUAAUGCUAGAAAGAAACUGAAAUUUGUAUGUGAAACACAUUGCCUAAAUUACAGAAGCAGGAUGAUGUAAAACAGAAAACGAUUGCAAGCAAAUCAUCACUUGCAACCUCGUAUUUCUGUGUUAUCUUUAUUCCACUUACAGUUAGGAAAAACUAUUGAAUAUUGUCAGAAUAUUAUCAAAUUUUGAACCUGGGCAUGAGCACUCAAGGCACCUAGUCGUUGCCCUUAGACUAAACUCCAUUGGACAGAAUGCUCAAUUCCGGGAGAAUAUGCUUGUGAAGCAUAUGACAUAAAACUGGGAACUGGAGCAUGUCAAAACUAUAGGGAACUGAAAAUGACUGCAAUGAAAACAUGUCUUCUGAGCUCACUUUGCCUUGUUACUUUUCUACCCCUUGGAGAUAAGAAACAUAGUGCACUUUUGUCAGACUGUAAUUAAAUUCCAAUGAUCUGAUGAGAAAUGAGACUGUAACGUACACUUUCCCAAAAGCUCAUUUGGAAGAACAAAUGUAUCUUUGAUCAGAAAAACAGCAUAUAUAGGUGCUUAGCAUAUGAUAAGUUCCUAGAAUAUUUACUACCAAAUUUCAUCCUUUAAGAAACACAUAAGAUACAAAGCUGUGUAGAAGGUAGGAACAAAUUGUUUUCAGAAAUUAUCUUUAAGAUCCAAGAAAAUGUAUACUUUUUUCAGAUACAGUGUAGGUAUAUGUAACAGAUCCAACAGACCAAUUUGUCUAGAGGAGAAUGCUAGAAAUCAUUGUUUCAAUCCAUCUGUUAGAUUUUAUAGUCGCUACUAGUUAAUGUAAUAAAACAGUAGAGACAAAAUGCAUAUAAAAUGAUGCCGUGUUAGUUGCUUAAAUCUGUGUCUUUCAGGAAUACACAAGCUGCCUUACGAUUACUGCCUUGACGUCCGACAAAGAGAGAUUCAUCAUACAUCACUAAACCCUUCUCUUUUCUUUUCCUACAGAAGGCAUACUGAUUAUGUUGUUUAUUUUGUAGCUUGUGGUUUUCAUGACACAGCCUUCACUUUCUUUAUGGGAAGAAUGUUGAACGAGCUAUGCGGAUAUUAGAUCAAGGUGGUGUAAAGCUCAUAAUUGGCGAACCCAGUAACCGUUCAGUUUUCAUGGUACCCAAUAUGCUUUAUCAAUUUACUUAUGUGUUCAUUUUAACAUGAGACAAUGGAAUGCUUUUUUCAUUUAUUGACAUUUAGGUUGCUGGAGAAUCAAAAAGCAAGGAUCAAUAUAUAUGUUACCCAGAGCACCACUGUACAUGCUAUUCCUUUUUUUAUGAGACUGUUAAUAAAGCAGAACAAUUAUGUGUGUAAAGGGAAAAGCGGAAUAGCAGUAAGAUUAAGAUCAAGAGGAUUUGGUUUUUGUGUCGUGUAUCUAAAGUUGGAAGCUAGACUUAAACACUGGAUUCGGCAAGACAAACUGGAAGGCAAUCUCGUAUUUUAGGUUUUCAUAGGCUAGCCAGUUCAUAAUAAAACAAGUACAGAAAAAAUAAUUUUCUUCUUGCUUAGAUUGUGUUACUAAGCCAACGCAGUGUUAAACCUGAUAAUUACUAUCCUUGCACUUUUCUCUACACAAUAUUAAGAGAGCAAAAAAAGAUGGGAGCAUGUAGAUUUGUUGAAUUUUUACAACAGAAAGGUCUAAUGCCAGUUUCCUUGAAAAAAAUUUCACCAGAUUUUGUCAUGUGAAUUGAGGAUAUAAAUGAUGUAAGUAUGAUGAACCAUAAAGAAUAAUGCAUCUUUUGGAAUCAACAAGUGUAUGUUUAGAUUAA